rnacentral:lncRNA from 1 species
UGUCAACAGCACGAGAAGCAAGCUAGGAUGCAUCAGUGGCUGGAAGAGCGAAAGAUGUAAACUGAAACGUCAGAACGGCAAGAAACCAAUACCGCCACCUAGUGGACUUGUGAUACUCCGCAAGGCAUGGCACCACGACUUUUAAAUGGAUUAUUUUGGGCAGAUCAGAAUCAGAAAGAGUUUUAUUGCCAGGAUUGUACUUCUGUUGGUCACAUCAGAUUGGGCUCCACCUUGGAAGCUUUCCACUGCAACACUCAGGGAAGCAGAAUAUCAGUAUGAGG